AUCCCCGCUGGACAUCCAGGUCCGCGCCUGCCGCGCUCCCGCCGCCCUCCCAGGAGGCGCAAACAACCUGCCCUUUGCUUUGGCUGGGCUACCGCAGGAGAAACCCAGAAGUGGCCGCACAGUAGAAAGGGGGGCGGUGUGUGGAACCCGAGGGGAUUCUACAGAGACAUUUUGCACAAAGUCGAUUGGCAGGUUCUAGGAGGAAGCUCUUCUCUCUGGCUACCAGAUCGCCCGACAGUCCCUAAGCAAAGCUCAGCGGGAGCUGGCGCGGAAAAAAAGGAGCCUCCUACCCCCCAGCCACACUUCGGAAUGCAGGAACUAUCCCCAACCCCUAGUCAGAAGACUCUGAGGAACAAGAGCUCAGUUCAUGUGUGCUUCAAAGUGCGACGUUCCCCAUUGUCGCUAAGGACUCCUCAGAAGCCAAAACAAGGAGAGUGGGUCCUCAGUUGCCUCUUCUGCAUAUGACCAGCUCUCCACAAGGGAAACGGCACAGGGAAUGGUCACUACUUCACAGCCCUGAAGACAAACGAAAGGGAAAAAACACAGUGGGGUUAUCACUGGCUAUUACAGGAAGCCUUAGCUCUGAGGACAGAACUCCCAUCAGAUGCAAAGCUUUAACAGUACAAAGCCACGAUUCUGUUCAAGUGCCAUUCAAGACUGCCUGACACUUCUGUAAGCUUCAAACUGAGUAGACUCUUGAGAAAUUCCAAUUCAGGUUCUUAUUUCAAGUCAUAGACAAUGGACAGAAAGAUGAGCAUCCUCAUUACUCUUUAUUUUGGUUGAGUAUCCCAAGAGAUUUGACCUUGACAAGCUUUUUAUAAACAGGUGACCUCUCCUUCAUUCUCCUCAUGUAUCUCUAGCUUUAAAAAAUAAAUGCAUAAUAUUUCAAAAUUAUGUUUAAUAUGUAACAUAUGUUAUUUAUAUU